GUGGGGAAUAUUCCGCAAUGGACGAAAGUCUGACGGAGCAACGCCGCGUGAGUGAUGAAGGUUUUCGGACUGUAAAGCUCUGUUGUUCAGGACGAAAGUGCCUGUUGCAAAUAGUUACAGGUAUUGACGGUACUGAACGAGGAAGCCACGGCUAACUACGUGCCAGCAGCCGCGGUAAUACGUAGGUGGCAAGUGUUGUCCGGAAUUAUUGGGCGUAAAGAGCAUGUAGGCGGGAAUCUAAGUCUGUUGUGAAAAUGCGGGGCUCAACCCCGUAUGGCGAUGGAAACUGGAUUUCUUGAGUGCAGGAGAGGAAAGGGGAAUUCCCAGUGUAGCGGUGAAAUGCGUAGAUAUUGGGAGGAACACCAGUGGCGAAGGCGCCUUUCUGGACUGUGUCUGACGCUGAGAUGCGAAAGCCAGGGUAGCGAACGGG
rnacentral:rRNA from 1 species